rnacentral:rRNA from 1 species
UCUACGGGAGGCAGCAGUGGGGAAUAUUGCGCAAUGGGCGAAAGCCUGACGCAGCGACGCCGCGUGAGGGAUGAAGGUCUUCGGAUCGUAAACCUCUGUCAGCAGGGAAGAACGGUCACUGUGCUAAUCAGCAGUGAAUUGACGGUACCUGCAAAGGAAGCACCGGCUAACUCCGUGCCAGCAGCCGCGGUAAUACGGAGGGUGCGAGCGUUAAUCGGAAUUACUGGGCGUAAAGCGCUCGUAGGCGGUAUGUCAAGUCAAGGGUGAAAUCCCCGCGCUCAACGUGGGAACUGCCUUUGAAACUGGCAAACUGGAGUGUGUGAGAGGAUAGUGGAAUUCCAGGUGUAGGAGUGAAAUCCGUAGAUAUCUGGAGGAACAUCAGUGGCGAAGGCGACUAUCUGGCACAUAACUGACGCUGAGGAGCGAAAGCGUGGGUAGCAAACAGGAUUAGAUACUCCAGUAGUC